rnacentral:misc_RNA from 1 species
UUAAUUCUCAUGUAUGUUCAGACGCAAACGCUUAUCCGCAUAAAUGCGGCGCCGGAGCGCUGAAGCAUGGGUUGCUUCCACAGGUUUGAAGGUUGAAGGCCGAAGCCAUUCAGUAAUGAUCCCUCCGCAGGUUCACCUAUGGAGA